AUAAGGGCGCACGGUGGAUGCCUUGGCACUAGGAGCCGAUGAAGGACGGGACUAACACCGAUAUGCUUUGGGGAGCUGUAAGUAAGCUAUGAUCCAGAGAUUUCCGAAUGGGGGAACCCAAUAUCUUUUAUAGGAUAUUACUUUUCAGUGAAUACAUAGCUGAUUAGAGGUAGACGCAGAGAACUGAAACAUCUUAGUACCUGCAGGAAGAGAAAGAAAAUUCGAUUCCCUGAGUAGCGGCGAGCGAAACGGGAAGAGCCCAAACCAACAAGCUUGCUUGUUGGGGUUGUAGGACUCCAAUAUGGUAGUCUGUUAGUAUAGUUGAAGGAUUUGGAAAAUUCCGCUAAAGAGGGUGAAAGCCCCGUAGACGAAAUGCUGACAACACCUAGGAGGAUCCUGAGUACGGCGGAACACGAGAAAUUCCGUCGGAAUCCGCGGGGACCAUCCCGCAAGGCUAAAUACUCCCUAGUGACCGAUAGUGAACCAGUACCGUGAGGGAAAGGUGAAAAGCACCCCGGAAGGGGAGUGAAAUAGAUCCUGAAACCGUGUGCCUACAACAAGUCAAAGCUCGUUAAUGAGUGAUGGCGUGCCUUUUGUAGAAUGAACCGGCGAGUUACGAUUGCAUGCGAGGUUAAGUCGAAGAGACGGAGCCGCAGCGAAAGCGAGUCUGAAUAGGGCGAAUGAGUAUGUAGUCGUAGACCCGAAACCAUGUGAUCUACCCAUGUCCAGGUUGAAGGUGCGGUAAAACGCACUGGAGGACCGAACCCACGUACGUUGAAAAGUGCGGGGAUGAGGUGUGGGUAGCGGAGAAAUUCCAAACGAACUUGGAGAUAGCUGGUUCUCUCCGAAAUAGCUUUAGGGCUAGCCUCGGAAUUGAGAAUGAUGGAGGUAGAGCACUGUUUGGACUAGGGGCCCAUCUCGGGUUACCGAAUUCAGAUAAACUCCGAAUGCCAUUCAUUUAUAUCCGGGAGUCAGACUGCGAGUGAUAAGAUCCGUAGUCGAAAGGGAAACAGCCCAGACCACCAGCUAAGGUCCCAAAAUAUAUGUUAAGUGGAAAAGGAUGUGGGGUUGCACAGACAACUAGGAUGUUGGCUUAGAAGCAGCCACCAUUUAAAGAGUGCGUAAUAGCUCACUAGUCGAGUGACCCUGCGCCGAAAAUGUACCGGGGCUAAACAUAUUACCGAAGCUGUGGACUACACCAUUAGGUGUAGUGGUAGGAGAGCGUUCUAAGGGCGUUGAAGGUCGAUCGUGAGGACGGCUGGAGCGCUUAGAAGUGAGAAUGCCGGUAUGAGUAGCGAAAGACAGGUGAGAAUCCUGUCCACCGUAUGACUAAGGUUUCCUGGGGAAGGCUCGUCCGCCCAGGGUUAGUCGGGACCUAAGCCGAGGCCGAUAGGCGUAGGCGAUGGACAACAGGUUGAUAUUCCUGUACCAGUUAUUUUUGUUUGAGCAAUGGAGGGACGCAGUAGGCUAAGGAAUGCAUGCGAUUGGAAGUGCAUGUCCAAGCAAUGAGUCUUGAGUAGAGUUAAAUGCUUUACUCUCUAAGGACAAGUUGUGACGGGGAGCGAAAUAAUAGUAGCGAAGUUCCUGAUGUCACACUGCCAAGAAAAGCUUCUAGUGAGAAAACAACUGCCCGUACCGUAAACCGACACAGGUAGUCGAGGAGAGUAUCCUAAGGUGAGCGAGCGAACUCUCGUUAAGGAACUCGGCAAAAUGACCCCGUAACUUCGGGAGAAGGGGUGCUGACUUC
rnacentral:rRNA from 1 species